rnacentral:rRNA from 1 species
UGAGGAAUAUUGCACAAUGGGGGAAACCCUGAUGCAGCGACGCCGCGUGGGUGAUGAAGGCCUUCGGGUCGUAAAGCCCUGUCAGAGGGAAAGAAAGGUGGAGUAGCUAAUACCUGCUCCAAUUGACGGUACCCUCAAAGGAAGCACCGGCUAACUCCGUGCCAGCAGCCGCGGUAAUACGGAGGGUGCGAGUGUUAUUCGGAAUCACUGGGCGUAAAGCGAACGUAGGCGGAUUGGCAAGUCAGAUGUGAAAGCCCGGGGCUCAACCUCGGAACUGCAUUUGAUACUGCUUGUCUUGAGUAUGGUAGAGGUGGGUGGAAUUCCCGGUGUAGAGGUGAAAUUCGUAGAUAUCGGGAGGAAUACCUGAGGCGAAGGCGACCCACUGGGCCAUUACUGACGCUGAGGUUCGAAAGCGUGGGUAGCAAACA